CCUUCUCGUUGACCUCCCCCCCCCACACGGAGCAAGUGAGCAGAGAGAGAGAGGAUCCAGGCGAUUCAGAGAGGAUUCCGGCUCCGUCAGGUGGCUGGCGUCCUUGCCGGCAACCGCGAUGGCACAACUCCCCUUCACCCCACCCCAGCGGCCUCCUCCCCCAAUACUCCUCACUGUUUUCUUCCCCUUUUCUUCGCCGGAUCUGAAGACGGGCUGCCGGUGUCGACCUGCCGUUGUCGCCGAGGUUGGCGGGGUGAGGUCGGAUCUCGUUGUCUCCGCAUCGCGUACAAGGAGCCCACAAAGCAGGGGAUGCUUCUGGCAGAGCAAGCCACGGGCGCCGUCGGCCCCAACCCAGGCGACGGCGAGGGCGCCAAUCCCCUCCAACCAGCCCCCGCAUCCAGUACGGGGUCGACAGCGGCGGGGGUGGCGCAGCGCGCAUCGACGACGAUGUGGAGACGCGCGCGGUGGAUUGCUCGAGGGCGUGGAAGCGCACGGCGUGCCCGACAUCUUAACCUCACCCGUGCAGCCAUUCCCAUGGCUGGUGGCAGCGGAGCCAAGGCGGGCCACUACAGAGAGGAGUUUCACCGGCGGAAGGACGACGUCGCGCGUGUGAGGCGGGCUUGCCGCCGAUGCUCUCCUCUAGUUCCUGCCGUCGUCCUGCUUCCCUGGACUCCUCCGUGCUCACCAGCACCCCAAGAUCCCGCGCGAGAAGGGGGUUGCGGCAGCUAGGUCAUGGAGGCACCGAUGCAAGGGGAUCGGAGGCGACAACCAUGACGCGGACGACAGAGCAGGCGACAGCGUCUCCGUCGUGGGGGUGUGUCGGCGGGCGGAGGUCACCCCCUCUAUCUCCCGGCUGGCUCUCUCCGGGCCGGCGGGGCGCUUCCAGAUGCGGCGGGUGCUAAUGGGCCCGGCCAUGGGGGCGCAGGUGUCCGCCGCGAGUUUUCUACGGCGAGCUCCACCAUUGCAUGUAUGGGCCAACACAUACAGUAUGUUUGCCGUCUGUCCUAUGGCUUUUCUAGUAUGCCUCUACCAUUUCUGCCAUCUUAAUUUUUGAAGAGGCAAGUUAGUUCAGGUGGCACAUUUACCCUCGUCCAGAUGGUAUGGUUGCCAUGGCAAAUUUACCUUUGAGCUAACUAGAUUUGCCAUGGCUAACUAGAGUGUUGGUCAUGGAAAAAAAUAUAGAUUUUGCCAUGACAUAAAUUUAGAACAAUUUGCCAUGACAUGAUUUUACAACCAUUUGCUAUGGAAAAAUGUUUAACAAAUUUGCCACGGAUAAAAUAGCACAAACAAAUGAUGGAAAAUAUUGCCAUGGCAAAUACACAUUCAAAUUUUGCCGUGUUAUUUUUAUCAAAAUGUCAAACUUUUUCGUUUUUAGUUGCCAUGGCAACUCAACUUUUCAGAUUUUCCAUGAUGUGUUGCCACAGAACUAACAAAAGGGUUGUGUUGCCAUGUAAAUAUAUGAUGUGUUGCCAUCUUUUUCUUUGCAACAUGGCAAUUUGAGUUCUAUGGGAGUAUGGCAAAUGUAGUUUAAUAUGUUGCCAUGUUCAUGGCGAUUUUUUUGUGUUGUUUCACAUACACGGCAACUUAAUACCAAAGAAGAUGGCAAGUCUUGGUUAAACGCCAUGGCAAGUUUGAACAUGCUUUUUGCCAUCACAAUUUUUGUAUAAUUUCACAUUCAUGGCAACUGUUUAUACAUAAGCAUGGCAAAUUUGAUAAAAAAAACCACAAAAAAUUGAAUAUGCAUUUGGCAUGGCAUUCAAAUAUACAUUUUUUUCAUGGCAAAUUUGACAAUUUUUUGUGUUAUUUCCGUUACAUGGCAAAUUAAUGACACCAAAUAUGGCAAAAUUUGGUAAAAUGCCAUGUCAAAAUUUGAACAUGCCCUUGCCAUGGCAACUAUUCAUCAUUUUUGUAAUAUUUCACAAUAUUGCAAAAUUAUGUAUAUUAGCAUUCCAAAUUCGAUAAAAAAACAUGGCAUAUCAGAAUAUGCAUUGCCAUGGCAAUUCUGAUCUUCUUUUCGUGUUGUUUCACAUGGACGGCAAUUUAAUUACACAAAGAUGGCAAGUCUUGAUAAAGUAGCAUUGAUAUGACCAAUCCUAGCCCCAGUCGUGUUGAUGUUGCAGUUGUUCAAGGAUUUGAACGCAUGCAUGUUGGUUCGGCCCACGCUGCUUAUCAUAUGUUUAACAUGGACCAAGGGGCGCAUGCAUAUGCUACUACAUGCACGUACCAGGUCAAAGCAUUAGCUGAUUCAGUUCUAAA